GCAAUGCAGUCCCGAGGAUUCAGCCUGGUGGCCGCAUCGAGUCGUCGGAUCUGAUCGCAAGACAGUUCCGGCGCUCGUUUGCGGUUGUGGGGUGCACUUUCUCGGGAUGCGCGCUGCGACCGGUUAUCGUGCUGCGAAGGCGUUGAGGUAGAGGUCUGGAUUUCGAUUCAGUAUCCUACCUGGGCGAAAAGCUAGGUACGGUGACUGAGAGCCUGCGGUGGCGGCUUGUCGCGCAGAGCGAAGCGUGCUGGGCGAUUGAACACUCAUUUCCUGCUUGCAGGGCUCGAGGACUCUCUCCCUUUACACUUCGUGCCCUGCGCUGGCCACCAAUGGUCUGCAGCGUCUGGGUCAGUCACCCGCUCGACCCGUCUUGAAACACGGACCAAGGAGUCUAACAUGUGCGCAAGUCAGUGGCUAGCAAAGUCAUGGGCGUAAUGAAAGUAAUGCGUGGGAUCCCUGCUCUAGCAGUGGGGCGCACCACGGUCCCGUUUCAUCUGCUUGUUCAGAGGAGCGGAGACAGAGCGUACACGUUGGGACCCGAAAGAUGGUGAACUAUGCCUGAGCAAGGUGAAGCCAGGAGAAAUCCUGGUGGAGGCCUGUAGCGGUUCUGACGUGCAAAUCG
rnacentral:rRNA from 1 species